rnacentral:rRNA from 1 species
CAGCAGCCGCGGGAACACGGAGGGUGCAAGCGUUAUCCGGAUUUAUUGGGUUUAAAGGGUCCGUAGGCGGAUCUGUAAGUCAGUGGUGAAAUCUCACAGCUUAACUGUGAAACUGCCAUUGAUACUGCAGGUCUUGAGUAAAUUUGAAGUGGCUGGAAUAAGUAGUGUAGCGGUGAAAUGCAUAGAUAUUACUUAGAACACCAAUUGCGAAGGCAGGUCACUAAGAUUUAACUGACGCUGAUGGACGAAAGCGUGGGGAGCGAACAGGAUUAGAUACCCGAGUAGUCCCUGUCUCUUAUAC